rnacentral:rRNA from 1 species
CAGCAGCCGCGGGAAUACGUAGGGUGCAAGCGUUAAUCGGAAUUACUGGGCGUAAAGCGUGCGUAGGCGGUGAGUUAAGUCUGCUGUGAAAUCCCCGGGCUCAACCUGGGAAUGGCAGUGGAUACUGGCUCGCUAGAGUGUGUCAGAGGAUGGUGGAAUUCCCGGUGUAGCGGUGAAAUGCGUAGAGAUCGGGAGGAACAUCAGUGGCGAAGGCGGCCAUCUGGGACAACACUGACGCUGAGGCACGAAAGCGUGGGGAGCAAACAGGAUUAGAUACCCCAGUAGUCCCUGUCUCUUAUAC